rnacentral:rRNA from 1 species
AAUAGAUACCCGGGUAGUCCACGCCGUAAACGAUGAGUGCUAAGUGUUGGAGGGUUUCCGCCCUUCAGUGCUGCAGCUAACGCAUUAAGCACUCCGCCUGGGGAGUACGGUCGCAAGACUGAAACUCAAAGGAAUUGACGGGGGCCUGCACAAGCGGUGGAGCAUGUGGUUUAAUUCGAAGCAACGCGAAGAACCUUACCAGGUCUUGACAUCUCCUGACCGCCCUGGAGACAGGGUCUUCCCUUCGGGGACAGGAUGACAGGUGGUGCAUGGUUGUCGUCAGCUCGUGUCGUGAGAUGUUGGGUUAAGUCCCGCAACGAGCGCAACCCUUGGUUCUAGUUGCCAGCAUUCAGUUGGGCACUCUAGAGCGACUGCCGGCGACAAGUCGAAGGAAGGUGGGGAUGACGUCAAAUCAUCAUGCCCCUUAUGACCUGGGCUACACACGUGCUACAAUGGAUGGUACAAAGGGCAGCGAAGCGGCGACGCAUGAGCGAAUCCCAGAAAACCAUUCUCAGUUCGGU